GACGAACGCUGGCGGCGUGCUUAACACAUGCCAGUCGAACGGAAAGGCCCUGCUUUUGUGGGGUGCUCGAGUGGCGAACGGGUGAGUAACGCGUGAGUAACCUGCCCUUGACUUUGGGAUAACUUCAGGAAACUGGGGCUAAUACCGGAUAGGAGCUCCUGCUGCAUGGUGGGGGUUGGAAAGUUUCGGCGGUUGGGGAUGGACUCGCGGCUUAUCAGCUUGUUGGUGGGGUAGUGGCUUACCAAGGCUUUGACGGGUAGCCGGCCUGAGAGGGUGACCGGCCACAUUGGGACUGAGAUACGGCCCAGACUCCUACGGGAGGCAGCAGUGGGGAAUAUUGCACAAUGGGCGGAAGCCUGAUGCAGCGACGCCGCGUGCGGGAUGACGGCCUUCGGGUUGUAAACCGCUUUCGCCUGUGACGAAGCGUGAGUGACGGUAAUGGGUAAAGAAGCACCGGCUAACUACGUG
rnacentral:rRNA from 1 species